UACGAAGGACCCAAGCGUUAUCCGGAUUUAUUGGGUUUAAAGGGUGCGUAGGCGGGUUAUUAAGUCAGUGGUGAAAGCCUUCAGCUUAACUGAAGAACUGCCAUUGAUACUGAUGAUCUUGAGUAUGAUUGAGGUGGGCGGAAUGUGUCAUGUAGCGGUGAAAUGCUUAGAUAUGACACAGAACACCGAUUGCGAAGGCAGCUCACUAAGCCAUAACUGACGCUGAUGCACGAAAGCGUGGGGAGCAAACAGG
rnacentral:rRNA from 1 species